CCUACGGGAGGCAGCAGUGAGGAAUAUUGGUCAAUGGACGAGAGUCUGAACCAGCCAAGUAGCGUGAAGGAUGACUGCCCUAUGGGUUGUAAACUUCUUUUAUAAAGGAAUAAAACGAGGCACGUGUGCCUUGUUGCAUGUACUUUAUGAAUAAGGAUCGGCUAACUCCGUGCCAGCAGCCGCGGUAAUACGGAGGAUCCGAUCGUUAUCCGGAUUUAUUGGGGUUAACGGGAGCGUAGAUGGGUUGUUAAGGCAGUUGUUAAAUUUUGCGGCUCCACCGUAAAAUUGCCAUUGAUACUGGCAUUCUUGAGUACAGUUGAGGUAGGCUGAAUUCGUGGUGUAGCGG
rnacentral:rRNA from 1 species